rnacentral:rRNA from 1 species
UACGGAGGGUGCAAGCGUUAUCCGGAUUUACUGGGUUUAAAGGGUGCGUAGGUGGGUCUGUAAGUCAGUGGUGAAAUCUCCGGGCUUAACCCGGAAACUGCCAUUGAUACUAUAGAUCUUGAAUAUCCUGGAGGUGAGCGGAAUAUGUCAUGUAGCGGUGAAAUGCUUAGAUAUGACAUAGAACACCAAUUGCGAAGGCAGCUCACUACGGGAUCAUUGACACUGAGGCACGAAAGCGUGGGGAGCGAACAGG